GAGUUCCCUGUCUUGCAGGCUCCCCUUGCUGCUGGCUGCUGUAGCCACUGCAGGGUUACUUGGGGACUGUGGCCUGAGAGAACAGAGAAAAGGAAAAAACAGGGGAUUUUUCCCUGUCGUCUGUCAGCACCUAGGGUCUGCCGACAGUGUGUUGAGACCAGGCUUGGGCACACUGGAUGAAAAAAGAAGAGGAAACUGUCAGUUGGGUGGUCUUUCAUGUUCUAGUCUUCCUUCUUAAUGUGCCUGCUCCUGUUUACUUUUCAGAGUCCUCGUAUAGCUGCUCCAAGCAUUCUUUCUGAGGUUCGUAGUUGCGGCCCUGGGAAAAACAGGGUGGAGUGUGCUGACUAUCUAUCCUACGUAGAACUGGAACCUCUGUUUGAUUUUGAAUAUGGAGAAUAGUAUGACUCUAAACAAUGGGUGCCUUAAUUGCCCCCUUAGUGUCACUCUACCCAACUUUACCUCUUUGCUUGAAAAACCAUCCUUAGGAUCCACAGACACCUCUUAGGAGGAAGGUGGGGUUAGUGCUGCCAGUUAAAAGCAUUACCUUUACCAUCUGAUGAAACAAAAACUUGCUUCUUGACUCUACAGCUAAAACUAAAUUGGGAGUAUUUUUUUCUCAUUAACCUUUUUAUUAAAAUGCAAGUUCUUUUUCAAAGAUGAGAGUUAUACAUAGUAAGUCGAAGAUUUCUGAAAUCCUUUUAGUCCAGCUUAGAAGAGGACCAAGAAGAUAAUGCUUAUGUAAAUCUGAAUCCAGCAGAUACUCUCUCCACUAAAUUAAGAGAUACUUCUCUCAUGAAGAGCUUUGUUGUGCAGAUUUUGCAGUGCCACGUUUUCGAUUUUGAAUGUUGCAUAUGCUUAUAAAUCCCGUAGAAGUGAUUCUUGUGAUAAUAGUUUAAAAAACUUAGUGAAAAUCAAGAGAACAGGCUUCUAUGAAAAUCCGAAGUGAAGUUGUGCAUGCCUCCCUUAGUAGCUAAUGGCCAAAUGGUUAAAGGUGUUACCAGGGUGGUGAAUGAUAUUCAAAGACCUGUUGUUCAGGAGGGGUGGGGAGCAGGAAGCUCUGUUGGUGUAAGUGGAGAAUGGAAUGUUUUAGGGAGCCGGGUUUUGUCAUUUCCAGGAGCAGGGCGGGCAGCACGGUGGGAAGGUCUGGCUCCAGCUUGAGCCCACUCACAGGAUGUCAGGGGGAAGUGUGACUAAGGUCACGGCCACGCCACGUGGUGGGCCAGCUGGAUCCAGAGCAGGGGCCGUUGUGGCCACACAUCCUGAGUUUCCAUGGUCUAAUGCAGUGGGCUUGAAAAAAAAGGGUGGAUGCAGGAUGCUGGCUGGGACUGUGGAGUGCGUGGGCAGUAAGUCUUAAGUGACAGUGGGUGGAGAUUACAGCAUUUCAUCUGCUUUUCCUUUGACACCUUUUAAAGAUACAACCCACAGUUUUCAAGGGUUUAUGCCAAUGUCUGCUAGAGGGAUCUUGCAGUAGAUCUUAAACCCUAUAGUAUUCUUAAGAGCACAAGGAAAUUCUUAUUUGGGUUCCAUUUACAACAAAGGUGGAAAUUUAAAACUAGGCUGAGAAUUUGAAAUGCUGUUCACAUUAAGCAGUUUAUUAGGGGGUUAUUUUGAAAUCGUUCUUAAGUAAUUUUAAGAUGUUUCCACAUCUCAAAAGGAUACAUACAUUUUUCUUCAGUUUUCUUUGGAGAAUGUCUGUUCAGGAUGUUUAGCAGGUUGGGUUUCAGAAUUUCAGCGGCUUUAUGGUGCUGUCAUCCAGUUCGACAGAUUGAAUUUGCACGUAGAGGAAAUGGAAUGUAUUUUUAAUCACCGGAAUGUAUUGUACCUAACGAACAUG
rnacentral:lncRNA from 10 species